rnacentral:rRNA from 1 species
CAGUCGCCGCGGUAAUACGUAGGUGGCCAGCGUUGCCCGGAAUUAUUGGGCGUAAAGGGCUCGCAGGCGGUUUCUUAAGUCUGAUGUGAAAGCCCCCGGCUCAACCGGGGAGGGUCAUUGGAAACUGGGAAACUUGAGUGCAGAAGAGGAGAGUGGAAUUCCACGUGUAGCGGUGAAAUGCGUAGAGAUGUGGAGGAACACCAGUGGCGAAGGCGACUCUCUGGUCUGUAACUGACGCUGAGGAGCGAAAGCGUGGGGAGCGAACGGGAUUAGAUACCCCCGUAGUCCCUGUCUCUUAUAA